rnacentral:rRNA from 1 species
UGGGGGAUAUUGCACAAUGGGCGCAAGCCUGAUGCAGCGACGCCGCGUGAGGGAUGACGGCUUUCGGGUUGUAAACCUCUUUCGCUACUGAACAAGGCCCUGCUUGUUGUGGGGGUUGAGGGGUAGGUGGAUAAGAAGCGCCGGCUAACUACGUGCCAGCAGCCGCGGUAAUACGUAGGGCGCGAGCGUUGUCCGGAAUUAUUGGGCGUAAAGAGCUCGUAGGCGGCUUGUCGCGUCUGCUGUGAAAACGCGGGGCUUAACUCCGCGCGUGCAGUGGGUACGGGCAGGCUAGAGUGUGGUAGGGGUGAUUGGAAUUCCUGGUGUAGCGGUGGAAUGCGCAGAUAUCAGGAGGAACACCGAUGGCGAAGGCAGGUCACUGGGCCAUUACUGACGCUGAGGAGCGAAACGCAUGGGGAGCGAACAGGAUUAGAUAGCCCUGGUAGUCCAUGCCGUAGACGUUGGGCA